rnacentral:tRNA from 1 species
CAGAAGUUAGUUUAAAUAAAACAUAAAUUUUGGAAAUUUAAGAUAUUCAUUACCUCUGA